rnacentral:rRNA from 1 species
UAGGGAAUCUUCCACAAUGGACGCAAGUCUGAUGGAGCAACGCCGCGUGAGUGAAGAAGGUUUUCGGACCGUAAAGCUCUGUUGUUGGUGAAGAAGGAUAGAGGUAGUAACUGGCCUUUAUUUGACGGUAAUCAACCAGAAAGUCACGGCUAACUACGUGCCAGCAGCCGCGGUAAUCGUAGGUGGCAAGCGUUGUCCGGAUUUAUUGGGCGUAAAGCGAACGCAGGCGGAAGAAUAAGUCUGAUGUGAAAGCCCUCGGCUUAACCGAGGAAUUGCAUCGGAAACUGUUUUCUUGAGUGCAGAAGAGGAGAGUAGAACUCCAUGUGUAGCGGUGGAAUGCGUAGAUAUAUGGAAGAAUACCAGUGGCGAAGGCGGCUCUCUGGUCUGCAACUGACGCUGAGGCUCGAAAGCAUGGGUAGCGAACAGGAUUAGAUACCCUGGUAGUCCAUGCCGUAAACGAUGAGUGCUAAGUGUUGGGAGGCUUCCGCCUCUCAGUGCUGCAGCUAACGCAUUAAGCACUCCGCCUGGGGGAGUACGACCGCAAGGUUGAAAC